UUUAUAUGAGAGUUUGAUCCUGGCUCAGGAUGAACGCUGGCGGCGUGCCUAAUACAUGCAAGUCGAACGAGUUCUCGUUGAUGAUCGGUGCUUGCACCGAGAUUCAACAUGGAACGAGUGGCGGACGGGUGAGUAACACGUGGGUAACCUGCCCUUAAGUGGGGGAUAACAUUUGGAAACAGAUGCUAAUACCGCAUAGAUCCAAGAACCGCAUGGUUCUUGGCUGAAAGAUGGCGUAAGCUAUCG
rnacentral:rRNA from 1 species